GUUCGACAAGUUUGUCUAUAUCAACAUUUGAGGGUGCACUUGCUGGGUUACUGCUUUUGAGUAAGGAGAAGCAGGAAUAAUAGUAUUGGAAUGAGGAAUUUUAAUUCCUUCGAGUGGGGGAGUGACAGACUCAACUACUUUGUUGGCCCGAGUAUACCACUUAUUGACAAGAACUUGUAAUGACUCGUCUUGGUCAUCAAGCUUUCCAGUGAUCUCGAACCAUUUGAAGAAUUCGAUA
rnacentral:lncRNA from 1 species